rnacentral:rRNA from 1 species
GACGAACGCUGGCGGCGUGCUUAACACAUGCAAGUCGAACGGUAAGGCCCUUCGGGGUACACGAGUGGCGAACGGGUGAGUAACACGUGGGUGAUCUGCCCUGCACUUCGGGAUAAGCCUGGGAAACUGGGUCUAAUACCGGAUAGGACCACUGCCUGCAUGGGUGGUGGUGGAAAGCUUUUGCGGGGUGGGAUGGGCCCGCGGCCUAUCAGCUUGUUGGUGGGGUGAUGGCCUACCAAGGCGACGACGGGUAGCCGGCCUGAGAGGGUGACCGGCCACACUGGGACUGAGAUACGGCCCAGACUCCUACGGGAGGCAGCAGUGGGGAAUAUUGCACAAUGGGCGCAAGCCUGAUGCAGCGACGCCGCGUGAGGGAUGACGGCCUUCGGGUUGUAAACCUCUUUCAGCACCGACGAAGCGCAAGUGAUGGUAGGUGCAGAAGAAGGACCGGCCAACUACGUGCCAGCAGCCGCAGUAA